rnacentral:rRNA from 1 species
GAUGAACGCUGGCGGUAUGCUUAACACAUGCAAGUCGUACGAAGAUUUUUGAUCUUAGUGGCGGACGGGUGAGUAACACGUGAGAAUCUGCCCUUAGGAAGAGGAUAACAGCUGGAAACGGUUGCUAAUACUCUAUACGCCGAGAGGUAAAAGGAUAUAUCCACCUUAGGAAGAGCUCGCGUCUGAUUAGCUUGUUGGUAAGGUAAUGGCUUACCAAGGCGACGAUCAGUAGCUGGUUUGAGAGGACGACCAGCCACACUGGGACUGAGACACGGCCCAGACUCCUACGGGAGGCAGCAGUGGGGAAUUUUCCGCAAUGGGCGAAAGCCUGACGGAGCAAUACCGCGUGAGGGAUGAAAGCCUGUGGGUUGUAAACCUCUUUUCUCAAGGAAGAAGUUCUGACGGUACUUGAGGAAUAAGCAUCGGCUAACUCCGUG